GGCUAGGGUUAGGGUUAGGGUUAUGGUUAGGGUUAGGGUUAGGGUUAGGGUUAGGGUUAGGGUUAGGGUUAGGGUUAGGGUAGGGUUAGGGUUAGUGUUAGGGUUAGGGUUAGGGUAGUGUUAGGGUUAGGGUUAGGGUUAGGGUUAGUGUUAGGGUUAGGGUAGUGUUAGGGUUAGGGUUAGGGUUAGGGUUUGGUUAGGGGUAGGGUUAGGGUUAGGGAAGGGUUAGGGUUAGGGUUAGGGUUAGGGUUAGGGUUAGGGUUAGGGUUAGGGUUCGGGUUAGGGUUAGGGUUAGGGUUAGGGUUAGGGCUAGGGUUAGGGUUAGGGUUAGGGUUAGGGUUAGGGUUAGGGGUAGGGUUAGGGUUAGGGUUAGGGUUAGGGUUAGGGUUAGGGUUAGGGCUGGGGUUCGGGUUCGGGUUAGGGUUAGGUUUAGGGUUAGGGUUAGGGCUAGGGUUAGGGUUAGGAUUACGGUUAGGGCUGGGGUAGGGUUAGGGUUACGGUUAGGGUUAGGGUAGGGUUAGGGUUAGGGUUAAGGUUAGGGUUAGGGUUAGGGUUAGGGUUAGGGUUAGGGUUAGGGUUAGGGUUAGGGUAGGGUUAGGGUUAGGUUAGGGUUAGGGUAGGGUUAGGGUUAGGGUUAGGGUUAGGGUUAGGGUUAGGGUUAGGGUUAGGGUUAGGGUUAGGGUUAGGGUUAGGGUUAGGGUUAGGGUUAGGGUUAGGGUUAGGGUUAGGGUUAGGGUUAGGGUUAGGGUUAGGGUUAGGGUUAGGGUUAGGGUUAGGGUUAGGGUUAGGGUUAGGGUUAGGGUUAGGGUUAGGGUUAGGGUUAGGGUUAGGGUUAGGGUUAGGGUUAGGGUUAGGGUUAGGGGUUAGGGUUAGGGUUAGGGUUAGGGUUAGGGUUAGGGUUAGGGUUAGGGUUAGGGUUAGGGUUAGGGUUAGGGUUAGGGUUAGGGUUAGGGUUAGGGUUAGGGUAGGGUUAGGGUUAGGGUUAGGGUUAGGGUUAGGGUUAGGGUUAGGGUUAGGGUUAGGGGUAGGGUUAGGGUUAGGGUUAGGGUUAGGGUUAGGGUUAGGGUUAGGGUUAGGGUUAGGGUUAGGGUUAGGGUUAGGGUUAGGGUUAGGGUUAGG
ensembl:lncRNA